GCCUGAGUGGCUCAGUCGGUUGAGCGUCUGACUUCGGCUCAGGUCAUGAUCUCACGGUUCGUGGGUUCGAGCCCCGCAUCAGGCU
rnacentral:tRNA from 1 species